rnacentral:rRNA from 1 species
UACGUAGGGUGCAAGCGUUGUCCGGAAUUAUUGGGCGUAAAGAGCUCGUAGGCGGUCUGUCGCGUCGGAUGUGAAAAUCCAGGGCUUAACCCUGGACCUGCAUUCGAUACCGGCAGACUAGAGUUCGGUAGGGGAGACUGGAAUUCCUGGUGUAGCGGUGAAAUGCGCAGAUAUCAAGCAGAACACCUGCGGCGAAGGCGGCCUUCUGGACGAUGACUGACGCUGAGACACGAAAGCGUGGGGAGCAAACAGG